rnacentral:miRNA from 1 species
AUCAGCCUCACCUGGGAGCUUGUUAAAAAUGCAGACUCUCAGCUCCUGGCCCCAAAUCUGCACUUUUAACAAGAUCCCCAGGAGGUUGGU